AUGUCAUCAAUGCAAACAAAUGUUCUCUGUGUUUACCCUGGGCAGGGUCAGGCUGUGCACAGCCUUGCACAGAGCUUGGACAAAAAGCAAGGAUGCUUCCUGUGUGACUUACUUAAACUGUGUCAAAGGGAAAACUAUUUGCUUUGUGACAGCAGAAAUUAUAUAAGAAGGAGAACACACGCAGACAGUGGAGGUAUCUCAAUGUAUUCAGGCUGUAAACAACACGAGGUAUUUAUAACUCAAUUCAGAGUGGCUCAGAUCUGUCACAGCAUGAAGAUAAACCAAUUCUCAGAGGGAGAUGCUGUCACCAGCAUGAUUUCCUUGCGAUAACAGGUGAGGCUACAGGCAUACUUGUGUAGAGCCAUCAUUGCUAAGUUAUUUUUUACUCAUAGUCCAUUUUAUAUGUUUACCUCUAGUCUUUGUACUCAGCCUUUAUAUUUGGUCUAUUAUAUUUAUAAAAAUUAAUGUUCUGUUUGAAUGUAUGCUUCCAAAGAGAAGAUUAUAUUUUAAUUUAUGCUUAAAGCCUUAUGUCUGUCUUUAAUAUUGUAUUAAUAAUAAAGGGGUUUGACAUUUACCUUAAAUUAUUAGU
rnacentral:lncRNA from 1 species